rnacentral:rRNA from 1 species
GGAUUAGAUACCCUGGUAGUCCUAGCUGUAAACGAUGGAUACUAGCUGUUUGUGAUUUUAAAUCGUGAGUAGCGAAGCUAACGCGCUAAGUAGACCGCCUGGGGAGUACGGCCGCAAGGUUAAAACUCAAAUGAAUUGACGGGGGCCCGCACAAGCGGUGGAGCAUGUGGUUUAAUUCGAUGCGACGCGAAGAACCUUACCUACACUUGACAUGCAGAGAACUUUCCAGAGAUGGAUUGGUGCCUUCGGGAACUCUGACACAGGUGCUGCAUGGCCGUCGUCAGCUCGUGCCG